rnacentral:rRNA from 1 species
CCUACGGGUGGCAGCAGUGAGGAAUAUUGGUCAAUGGGCGCGAGCCUGAACCAGCCAAGUAGCGUGAAGGAUGACUGCCCUACGGGUUGUAAACUUCUUUUAUAAAGGAAUAAAGUGAGGCACGUGUGCCUUUUUGUAUGUACUUUAUGAAUAAGGAUCGGCUAACUCCGUGCCAUCAGCCGCGGUAAUACGGAGGACCCGAGCGUUAUCCGGAUUUAUUGGGUUUAAAGGGAGCGUAGAUGGGUUGUUAAGUCAGUUGUGAAAGUUUGCGGCUCAACCGUAAAAUUGCAAUUGAUACUGGCAGUCUUGAGUACAGUUGAGGUAGGCGGAAUUCGUGGUGUAGCGGUGAAAUGCUUAGAUAUCACGAAGAACUCCGAUUGCGAAGGCAGCUUACUAAACUGCCACUGACAUUGAUGCUCGAAAGUGUGGGUAUCAAACAGGAUUAGAUACCCUAGUAGUC